UUUAAAAUGAAGAUGCAGUUUGCCAAAAGAUAUUGUGGUAAAGACAAAGUAUUAAGAACACAAAGAUGAAUGUGGUCAGUGAGAUGGCACCGUAGGUAAAGUGUGUGUGGUCAGUGAGAUGGCACCGUAGGUAAAGUGUGUGUGGUCAGUGAGAUGGCACCGUAGGUAAAGUGUGUGUGGUCAGUGAGAUGGCACCGUAGGUAAAGUGUGCUGUGCAAACUGGGCAAUCUGACAACCUGGGGUCAACCUUGGAUCCC